rnacentral:sRNA from 1 species
UGCCUAAACUUACGCCUCCGGCGUAAGCAUGGCGCAAUAUCGAAAUCCUACGUGAAUAGAGACGGCCUCAUGGUCGGCACUUAUUCACGUAGGUCGAUGUUCCGAAAGGACAUCGGGCAGUUCGAAAGGAUUGUC